rnacentral:lncRNA from 12 species
UGCCGUGCUGCUGGCAGCCAGAGCAGGAAAGCCAUCUUGUCUUCACGCUGUCAGCAUUUCCACUGCUGACUCCGGUGGCGUGGGAAGGAGACAGCAGCUGGCUGAGGCCAAGGCCAGGCUUUGAGAGGGUGUCAGAGGAGGAGGAGCGAGGAGGCUGGAGAGACCCAAUAACCAAAUAAAUGUAAGAGAAGGGAAGAGGAGCCGGGAGCGGCUGGAUAACACCCACGGGAGGCUGCGAGCGAGGGCCGGCGGAGGGGGAAGAUC